rnacentral:sRNA from 1 species
ACCUGCUGCGGAUGAUCUGGAAUGCUCAGAAAAUCUUCCACAUCAACCCACGCCUUCCCUCCGACCUGCACCCAAUCAAAGUGGUGGAGGGAGUCAAGGAAUUGAGCAAGAAGCUGGUGAUUGUGAAUGGGGAUGACCCACUAAGUCGACAGGCCCAGGAAAAUGCCACACUGCUCUUCAACAUCCACCUGCGGUCCACGUUGUGUUCCCGCCGCAUGGCAGAGGAGUUUCGGCUCAGUGGGGAGGCCUUCGACUGGCUGCUUGGGGAGAUUGAGUCCAAGUUCAACCAAGCCAUUGUGAGUGUUGUGCUCUUCACAGCAGUCUUAUUUUCCUCCUUUUACCUGUUGACUUCUGUGGUUUCCAAGAGCAGCCCACUUCUGUCCACAGCCACCUAAUAAUAGCUCUCAUUCAUGGAGAGACUGCUUCUACCUU